rnacentral:rRNA from 1 species
GCGUGAGUGAAGAAGGCCCUAGGGUUGUAAAACUCUUUCAGCGGGGAAGAUGAUGACGGUACCCGCAGAAGAAGCCCCGGCUAACUCCGUGCCAGCAGCCGCGGUAAUACGGAGGGGGCUAGCGUUGUUCGGAAUCACUGGGCGUAAAGCGCGCGUAGGCGGCAUGCAUAGUCAGGCGUGAAAGCCCCGGGCUCAACCUGGGAACUGCGCUUGAUACUGGCAUGCUAGAGUACGGGAGAGGGUAGUGGAAUUCCCAGUGUAGAGGUGAAAUUCGU